GGCAGCGUGGUACAGUUGUUUUGUGCGUUGGGCUAUGACUCCAAAGACCAGGAUUCGAAUCCCCGCUCGGCCA